rnacentral:rRNA from 1 species
GCUUGCUGGGGGGAUUAGUGGCGAACGGGUGAGUAACACGUGAGUAACCUGCCCUUGACUCUGGGAUAAGCCUGGGAAACUGGGUCUAAUACCGGAUAUGACUCCUCAUCGCAUGGUGGGGGGUGGAAAGCUUUUGUGGUUUUGGAUGGACUCGCGGCCUAUCAGCUUGUUGGUGGGGUAAUGGCCUACCAAGGCGACGACGGGUAGCCGGCCUGAGAGGGUGACCGGCCACACUGGGACUGAGACACGGCCCAGACUCCUACGGGAGGCAGCAGUGGGGAAUAUUGCACAAUGGGCGGAAGCCUGAUGCAGCGACGCCGCGUGAGGGAUGACGGCCUUCGGGUUGUAAACCUCUUUCAGUAGGGAAGAAGCCGCAAGGUGACGGUACCUGCAGAAUAAGCGCCGGCUAACUACGUGCCAGCAGCCGCGGUAAUACGUAGGGCGCAAGCGUUAUCCGGAAUUAUUGGGCGUAAAGAGCUCCUAAGCGGUUUG